AACUCAAUGAAGUUAUAAAAAGAGAGAGAUACAGACGAUAGAGAGAAGGGAGGAAUUUGGAGGCGUGGCGGUGACGACGUGAAGGCGUAGGAUCGCGAUUCCGCUCAUACCCUGGUAAGCGUUAAAUCUCCAACCUUUUUAUUGGCGAUUUAAGACCGGUCUACAUUCUGACGAAUUAAGUUGUUUAGGGUUGUUUCAGAAAUCCGAUCAAGUUGUUUAGGGUUGUUUAAGAUACAGGCGUUUCCGGAUUGGAGGUCAAUACUUCUUCCACACAAGAAGAGACUGUUUGGGUUGAGUGUCUUUCAUUGAUUUUUGCAACCAUGAACUGAAGGCUGCAGCAACAUGGAAAGUUGAUGGAGCAGGAUCAUCAAACAUUACCGAAGGGGCCCGAUAACACAUCCAUAUUUCAAAUUUUGUAUUACAGAGAUGGACAAAUUUCUUGAAAAGUUUGCCACUACUAGAAUUCCAGUGACGAUGGUGGCUCUGUGAUGGUGAAUCCUGGCGGCAUCAUCUGCAAAUAUGUGUGGUCGACAGUGGCGAUCAAUGGGACCAUAAGAGGGCUGAAGCCGGUCUAACAACAACAGCAAUUGGCGGCUACACGGGUGUCAAGAGGCAGCUGAUCUGGUGGAAUAGGCGGUUGAUCUGGCGGUUAUGUGAGAGCGUUAAAGGCUGCAUUUAGUGACCAAACGACAGCGAAGAACAUCGGUAUUGAGCUACUAAAAUAGUGCAGUGAACCCGACAGCAACGUCGUGCAUUCAGGCGCGCUUUUGGGAUCAAAACAUUUAGUGUUUGGGUUCAUAACCGGUUUUCGGGUUCGGGUUGUGUUCGGGUUUGUGUCAGAUUUUCAGGUUCGCGCCGCAUUGGGCCAGUAUGGUACGUUUGUUUUAAAAGCUGGUUGAAUAGAAGUCUCAAAUGGGUUUGGCUUAAUAAGAGGCGCAAACAAGUUGCACAAGAACUUAGAAAAGCACAAGAAAAGAUCCCAUUAGUGAAGAAAAAGUCCGAGGCAGCAGAAGAAUCGAAACAACAUGUCUUGAAGGAGCUCAACAAUGCAAAGCGGCUUGCACAAGAACUUAGAAAAGCACAAGAAGAGAUCCCAUUACUGAAGAAAAAGUCCGAGGCAACAGAAGAAUCGAAACAUGUCUUGAAGGAGCUCGACAAUGCAAAGCGGCGUCUAGAGAAACUGAAACUAAUUGUUGACAGCGCAGAAAAAGAAGAGAGCCAAGCAAAACAAGAUGCUCAACUUACAAAUCUAAGAGUGGAAGAAGAUAAUCAAAAUCUAAGAGUGGAAGAAGAUAAUCGCUCUGAUGUUUCCGUUUAAAAUAUAUAUCUAUGAGUUCCAUACUAUUCACCUAUUGAAACAUGUUAACUCAAGACCGAUCCUUUUCAUUUCAA